CCUACGGGAGGCAGCAGUGAGGAAUAUUGGUCAAUGGGCGGAAGCCUGAACCAGCCAAGUAGCGUGCAGGAUGACGGCCCUACGGGUUGUAAACUGCUUUUAUACGGGAAUAACGCGCCUUACGUGUAGGGCUUUGCAUGUACCGUAUGAAUAAGGACCGGCUAAUUCCGUGCCAGCAGCCGCGGUAAUACGGAAGGUCCGGGCGUUAUCCGGAUUUAUUGGGUUUAAAGGGAGCGUAGGCCGCAUGUCAAGCGUGCUGUGAAAUGUCCGGGCUCAACCCGGGCCUUGCAGCGCGAACUGGGGUGCUUGAGUCCGCGGAAGGCAGGCGGAAUUCGUCGUGUAGCGGUGAAAUGCUUAGAUAUGGCGAAGAACCCCGAUUGCGAAGGCAGCUUGCUGCAGCGGAACUGACGCUGAUGCUCGAAAGCGCGGGUAUUGAACAGGAUUAGAUACCCCAGUAGUC
rnacentral:rRNA from 1 species